AUCCGGGUUGCGGACAGUGUCUGGUGGGUAGUUUGACUGGGGCGGUCUCCUCCUAAAGAGUAACGGAGGAGCACGAAGGUUGGCUAAUCCUGGUCGGACAUCAGGAGGUUAGUGCAAUGGCAUAAGCCAGCUUGACUGCGAGCGUGACGGCGCGAGCAGGUGCGAAAGCAGGUCAUAGUGAUCCGGUGGUUCUGAAUGGAAGGGCCAUCGCUCAACGGAUAAAAGGUACUCCGGGGAUAACAGGCUGAUACCGCCCAAGAGUUCAUAUCGACGGCGGUGUUUGGCACCUCGAUGUCGGCUCAUCACAUCCUGGGGCUGAAGUAGGUCCCAAGGGUAUGGCUGUUCGCCAUUUAAAGUGGUACGCGAGCUGGGUUUAGAACGUCGUGAGACAGUUCGGUCCCUAUCUGCCGUGGGCGCUGGAGAA
rnacentral:rRNA from 1 species